rnacentral:lncRNA from 1 species
CCGCGGUUGCUGGUUGAGCACGGUGGCGGCUGCGCUGUGAAAUCCAGUUCAUCCUUUACUGUCAAUGUUACCUCCGUCCCGGCAAGUUCCCAAGUUGGUGGAAAUAAAAGAGCAAAGAAAGUGCCAGCAAAACUACCAGACUAGUGCUUGUUUGCUGUUGUCUGUUCUUAUGUCAGACCAUGUGAGAAUUCAUGUUUGUCAUUGAUUCUAAGCUAUAUUCAGUACUAUUUCCCUUUCCCAUUUAGUACUUUGUCAGACUAUGUUAAACUAAAUUGGGUCGAGAAUGUGUUCAGACUAUUUUCAAUUAAAUUGUGUUCAGACUAUGUUCAGCUAAAUUCAGUACAAUGCUCUGAAAUGUCCAAACUAUUUUCAGUUAUAUUCAGAUUUUGAUAAGCUAUAUUCAGUGCAAACACUUUCCUUUUCUCUUGUUCUCACUUGUACACACGCGCACACACAUACUCAUGCACAAACACUUAAUUGAUGUGGCAGUCAAAACCAGUGUAUGUGGCCCGUUUCAGUCAAAACACAGGGUCCACGUCAAAAUAAAACCACCUCAAGUGUUAUGACGAACAAAAAGUAUCCGGUUUAAAUGAUUGAGGGACGAAAAGUAUCUGGUUUAAAUAGUUGAGGGACUGACUUUGGGUGGUUUUGGAGUUGAGGGACGAUUUCUCAACUUUCGAAAGACUUCCGAGGACGAAAAAUGUACUUAUCCCACCUCUGUCUGCUGCUGAGUGCUGAGUAAGUUAAUAGAGGCCAAUGUACUUUGCUGCUAUUGGUUUAUAUGUAUUUGAAUUUUCCAGCAACAUUUUAGAUGCUUUCUGUGGGAUUUGGCAGCUAUGCGUUGAGCCGUUGAGAAUCAUUGCUAUGCUUGAAAUAAUUGAUCUAGUAUGUCAUAGUAGGUGCCACAAAAGAAACACGAUUCUUGCAAAUACUUAGUGCAGUUGGCGUCUACACAUCAUCAUAGUAUAUAGUUAGCUUUUUUUAGUCUAGCUUGUCUCUUUCCUGGGAUAUUCAGUUUUGUUUACUUUGUUAGUUGUGCAAGCAGGAUUGAUAUGGACUGAAGGCAUUAUCUGAUACCUAGCAUACAUGGAGAGAUGCUUCUUUCCAUAUGAUAUUGUUAUUGCUAGUUCUUACCUUUUUGGUUUCUUAAGCCUCAUCCCAAAUCCAGAAGCCUGAGAACUGUGGUACACAGAUUUUAAGGGUGAGUAUCAGGAGGGAGUGGCUUGCUCAUUAGUAAAUUCGGGUGUCCUUGGCACCCUCGUCUCCAUGGGAGAUGUAAAGUUAUCUUGGUCAUGAUCAUCUUAAUGAUUUCCUGGGUUCCUAGUUUUUUCUUAUUCCUAUGAAUCAAACACCCAACUCUACAAAAUUAAUGUGUUUUGUGAUUCUUUAUUUUGCGCAUGCUUUCGUAUCCUAUUUUUUUGUUUCCUGUUCCUAAGCUUUUUGAAUCCUGCGAACCAAGAGGCCCUUAGUGGGAUAUGGUUCUGUUCUGGUGGUGGCUUUGGUUACCAUGUGCCUAUGGAAGACCUCAUUGGGCGAGGAGAGCUUGGGAAAUUUAUAUCAUGUGCCUAUUGAAGGCCUCAUUUGCCGAUGAGUGCUCGGGAAAAUGUAUUCCAAAUUCGAAGGGCAGAGAUCAUAGAUGGGAGUCGACUCGAUACAGACCUGGAAGUUGCUAGACGAUGAAAACCUUCUCAAAAUUGAUGAGCAGGUUCUCUGGAGACAUGGCGGUGAUGAUCCUUACCAGUGUCUACUUGUAAGCUGAGGACACGAAAUCUCUAUGUAUGUUGUGAACAUGUUAUGAUACAUCAGUUUGAUUUGUCCUCUUGCUGUGGGAGUUAGGGUCAUAUUUGAUUUUCUUUCUUGAGCAAGCAGUUAGCCAAAAUCGUUUACCGUGUAUGGAUGGCUUCUUUUUGUUUCAUUACUCAUUAACGAGAUGAAACUUGUAUAUAAAAAGGUCACCUGUUUUGAAUAAAAAGACAGAAUCCCGGUAUCUCCCGGUAUCUUAUAUGGAGUUGCCCUGUUCAGCUAGCAGCCUUCUUUCUCUCAAGCAUAUAUGAAAGAAAGAAACCAACCACGGGGGAAAUAUAACAUGUAGUAGCUCCAUAAGGAGUUGCCUGUUAUUCUUCUAUAACAGUUGUUUACAUGUAUUACACCAAUGAAAUUAGAUAGAAUGCUAUAGUAUUAUGCUGUUCAUCAAUAUAUGGUUAGUCUUGAACUCAUGGUGUAUGAAACUUGUGUGGAAACCUAUGCAAGCACAACACCUGCCCCUGAACAUCCACUGGCAUGCAUGUUCAGAUAAAUUGGUUUACUUUACUUGGACAAUGCAAGUUCCAGAUUAUCUUCCAGGCUUGACUCUUCGUAUUAUCUGCAUCACUUGGCUUCUACAGCUGCACAUGAGUUCACAACAACAUUGCUUACGGAAAUAUGGAAAUCAUGUCGUUCCUGGUACCGAGAAGCUAAGUAGCAGUAUAAGAGAAACAUGAGAGGUGCCCUCCUUGUAUUAGAUUAUCAUAUCAGUUGUAACUUACGCAUGAACAAUCGUAGGUUGAUCUCUUGUAUAUUAAGUGUCUGCACCACUGUGAUAGUUUUUGCUAACCAUGGAUAAAAUGAUGCUGGUGCAUUCUUUAAAGGUCAUCUUGUUUUUGAACUUGUGGCACACUUUAUUCAUAUCAAAUACUAAUUGUUACAUCACUAACAAGUUCGACUAGGGUAAUCUGCGGAGGAUCACCCUCCCAAGAAAUUACAGAAUUAGGAUCAUAGAAUUCCUAGCAAGCUUGUGCCAAUACUUUGAGCUAAAUGAAAACGAUCAUUCAGAGUAGCAGAAUAAGGGCUCAUGAUAUCCACUUCCCCUUUGCGUGCCGAAUAAUUUCAAGACAAUCAGAUUCAAUGAUCACAUUGGAGCAUCCCCACUGGUCCACUAGCUGCAUACCAUUCUUCAACGGUGACCACGCUCCAAAAGAAAACAGAUAUGCUCCAAUGGUAUUUGACACGUACAGACUAUAUUAUAAUAAGCACAUUAAAGAGGACAAUAUGUUAGUAGACUGACGAACUGAUCUGUACUAGUUACCAGCAAAAGAAAAAAAGAACUGAUCUGUAGUACUACGACCAAACAUAUUUCCUUGAAGAAAUAAGCCGCACAUUUCCACCAAGCAAAGCACCAUCCCUUUGUGUGCCCAAGAGGGUGCAGAAAUGGAAAGAAACUGAAUGCUCUCACCUGUAGAAAGAAAGCGAUCACAAACAUUAAGUACCACUCAGAAUAGAGGUAAUUGCACCAUAGAUACGUAAACUUGGCAGGUGGGUUCAGUUUGGUUAAAAACCUUGGAAAAUGUGCGCUGGGUAUCACAACUUGGCUUUAGGAUUAGAGCAUGAGUAAAAUUCAUCCACGAUAUUUGAAUUUGCGCCGUGAGCUCAUUUUAGUCACGGUAUAUAAAAACUGGGUCAAUACGGUCAUUAUGUGCAAUUUAAGAUGAUUAUACGGUCACUGAUCGCCGUAUAGCUUCGUAUUUAUCUGAGUUGGCUGGUCAAACAGGUUGUGUGAUAAAAAUCCUCUCUCCUGCCCACGCAGGUUCCACCUGUCAGUGAUGGAGUAAAGAACAAAGAAGAGAUUAAAAUUUUGUAGGACAGGGGAUUUGAUCCAGUGUGACACUGUUUUAUAUAAGAACACAUGCACGCACGCGACGGCGUGCCGUGCACACAAGAUACACACACAAGCACCCAGUACACACCUGGCACAGUGCCACUAAGGUCUAUCAGUCUAUGGAAGACACACACAGAAUGCACGCACGGGCGCAUCGGCCAGCCACACUCACAUGCACGGCGCACAUAGAGCUCCCACGUCGUUGCCCUUACGCCACGCUCCGAAACUGGACGCGCCGGACCCGCCAUUCAUGCACACAACACGCAUGCACACACUCGCUAGGGGCGUGUUUGGUUGCCUACAUGAGGCCCAACCAGACCCGCGCGGGAAGAAAACGGCCUGCUUGGUUGGCUGCAUACAUUGUUGGGCCUGCAUGGCAUGAUGUUUAAAGCACUUCUGAGUCUGGCUUCCUGGAAACGCUCGAAUCGACAAUUUCUCCAGGGCCAAGCCCGAGCGGUGCACGUGGGCGGCGGCGGCUGCAUGCGUGCGGCCACGCUCGAGAAGCCGCGUUGCUUCCCGAAGCGCCGGCAGUUAUUAGCCUCACCGCCCCUCACCGCCCCUCACCGCCCCUCACCGCUCCCUCUCCCCACUCUCCCCACUCUCCCAACUCUCACCGGCGGUGGCGGAUCGGAGGAGAGCAAGAAGACCACCGGACUCCAUCACCGGCGAGCGGAUCAUCACUUGGCCCGCGGCAAUGGCGGUAAGCACUUCUCUCUGUUCGUCAUGCACUACUUGAAGGAAAUACGCCCUAGAGGCAAUAAUAAAGUAUUAUAUAUUUCCUUAUAUCAUGAUAAAUGUUUAUUAUUCAUGCUAGAAUUGUAUUAACCAGAAACAUAAUACAUAUGUGAAUACAUAGACAAACAGAGUGUCACUAGUAUGCCUCUACUUGACUAGCUCGUUAAUCAAAGAUGGUUAUGUUUCCUAGCCAUAGACAUGAGUUGUCAUUUGAUUAACGAGAUCACCUCAUUAGAAGAAUGACGUGAUUGACUUGACCCAUUCCGUUAGCUUAGCACCCGAUCGUUUAGUAUGUUGCUAUUGCUUUCUUCAUGACUUAUAUAUGUUCCUAUGACUAUGAGAUUAUGCAACUCCCGUUUAUCGGAGGAACACUUUGUGUGCUACCAAACGUCACAACGUAAAUGGGUGAUUAUAAAGGUGCUCUACAGGUGUCUCCAAAGGUACUUGUUGGGUUGGCGUAUUACGAGAUUAGGAUUUGUCACUCCGAUUGUCGGAGAGGUAUCUCUGGGCCCACUCGGUAAUCACAUCACUAUAAGCCUUGCAAGCAUUGUGACUAAUAAGUUAGUUGCGGAAUGAUGUAUUACGAAACGAGUAAAGAGACUUGCCGGUAACGAGAUUGAACUAGGUAUCGAGAUACCGACGAUCAAAUCUCGGGCAAGUAACAUACCGGUGACAAAGGGAACAACGUAUGUUGUUAUGCGGUCUGACCGAUAAAGAUCUUCGUAGAAUAUGUGGGAGCCAAUAUGGGCAUCCAGGUCCCGCUAUUGGUUAUUGACCGGAGACGUGUCUCGGUCAUGUCUACAUAGUUCUCGAACCCGUAGGGUCCGCACGCUUAACGUUACGAUGACAGUUUUAUUGAGUUUUGAUGUACCGAAGGAGUUCGGAGUCCCGGAUGAGAUCGGGGAUAUGACGAGGAGUCUCGAAAUGGUCGAGACGUAAAAAUCGAUAUAUUGGACGACUAUAUUCGUGUUGGGGAACGUAGUAAUUUCAAAAAAUUUCCUACGCACACGCAAGAUCAUGGUGAUGCAUAGCAACGAGAGGGGAGAGUGUUGUCCACGUACCCUCGUAGACCGACAGCGGAAGCGUUAUCACAACGCGGUUGAUGUAGUCGUACGUCUUCACGAUCCGACCGAUCAAGUACCGAACGCACGGCACCUCCGAGUUCUACACACGUUCAGCUCGAUGAUGUCCCUCGAACUCCGAUCCAGCCGAGUGUUGAGGGAGAGUUUCGUCAGCACGACGGCGUGGUGACGAUGAUGAUAUUCCACCAACGCAGGGCUUCGCCUAAGCUCCACAACGGUACUAUCGAGGUGUAAUAUGGUGGAAAGGGGCACCGCACACGGCUAAGAGAUCUCAAGGAUCAAUUGUUGUGUCUCUGGGGUGCCCCCUUGCCCCCGUAUAUAAAGGAGCAAGGGAGGAGGAGGCCGGCCCUAGGAGGGGGCGCACCAAGUGUGGAGUCCUACUAGGACUCCCUAGUCCUAGUAGGAUUCCACCUCCCAUAUGGAAUAGGAAAAGAGGAAGGAAAAAAAAGAAGGAAGGAAGGGGGCGCCCCCCUUCCCUAGUCCAAUUCGGACCAGACCAAGGGGAGGGGUGCGGCCACCCUUGAGGCCCUUUUUCUUCUUUCCCGUAUGGCCCAAUAAGGCCCAAUACGUAUUCCCGUAACUCUCCGGUACUCCGAAAAAUACCCGAAUCACUCGGAACCUUUCCGAAGUCCGAAUAUAGUCGUCCAAUAUAUCGAUCUUUACGUCUCGACCAUUUCGAGACUCCUCGUCAUGUCCCCGAUCUCAUCCGGGACUCCGAACUCCUUCGGUACAUCAACAUACAUAAACUCAUAAUAAAACAGUCAUCAUAACUUUAAGCGUGCGGACCCUACGGGUUCGAGAACUAUGUAGACAUGACCGAGACACGUCUCCGGUCAAUAACCAAUAGCGGGACCUGGAUGCCCAUAUUGGCUCCCACAUAUUCUACGAAGAUCUUUAUCGGUCAGACCGCAUAACAACAUACGUUGUUCCCUUUGUCACCGGUAUGUUACUUGCCCGAGAUUCGAUCGUCGGUAUCUCGAUACCUAGUUCAAUCUCGUUACCGGCAAGUCUCUUUACUCGUUCCGUAACACAUCAUACCGCAACAAACUUAUUAGUCACAAUGCUUGCAAGGCUUAUAGUGAUGUGCAUUACCGAGUGGGCCCAGAGAUACCUCUCCAACAAUCGGAGUGACAAAUCCUAAUCUCGAAAUACGCCAACCCAACAAGUACCUUUGGAGACACCUGUAGAGCACCUUUAUAAUCACCCAUUUACGUUGUGACGUUUGGUAGCACACAAAGUGUUCCUCCGGUAAACGGGAGUUGCAUAAUCUCAUAGUCAUAGGAACAUGUAUAAGUCAUGAAGAAAGCAAUAGCAACAUACUAAACGAUCGGGUGCUAAGCUAACGGAAUGGGUCAAGUCAAUCACGUCAUUCUCCUAAUGAGGUGAUCUCGUUAAUCAAAUGACAACUUAUAUCUAUGGCUAGGAAACAUAACCAUCUUUGAUUAACGCGCUAGUCAAGUAGAGGCAUACUAGUGACACUCUGUUUGUCUAUGUAUUCACACAUGUAUUAUGUUUCCGGUUAAUACAAUUCUAGCAUGAAUAAUAAACAUUUAUCAUGAUAUAAGGAAAUAAAUAAUAACUUUAUUAUUGCCUCUAGGGCAUAUUUCCUUCAGUCUCCCACUUGCACUAGAGUCAAUAAUCUAGUUCACAUCGCCAUGUGAUUUAACAUGAAUAGUUCACAUCACCAUGUGAUUAACACCCAUGGUUCACAUCGUCAUGUGACCAUCACCCAAAGGGUUUUACUAGAGUCAGUAAUCUAGUUCACAUCGCUAUGUGAUUAACACCCAAAGAGUACUAAGGUGUGAUAAUGUUUUGCUUGUGAGAUAAUUUUAGUCAACGGGUCUGUCACAUUCAGAUCCGUAAGUAUUUUGCAAAUUUCUAUGUCUACAAUGCUCUGCAUGGAGCUACUCUAGCUAAUUGCUCCCACUUUCAAUAUGUAUCUAGACCGAGACUUAGAGUCAUCUAGAUUAGUGUCAAAACUUGCAUCGACGUAACCCUUUACGACGAGCCUUUUGUCACUUCCAUAAUCGAGAAACAUAUCCUUAUUCCAGUAAGGAUAAUUUUGACCGCUGUCCAGUGAUCUACUCCUAGAUAACUAUUGUACCCCCUUGCCAAAAUCAGUGUAGGGUAUACAAUAGAUCUGGUACACAGCAUGGCAUACUUUAUAGAACCUAUGGCCAAGGCAUAGGGAAUGACUUUCAUUCUCUUUCUAUCUUCUGCCGUGGUCGGGUUUUGAGUCUUACUCAAUUUCACACCUUGUAACACAGGCAAGAACUCUUUCUUUGACUGUUCUAUUUUGAACUACUUCAAAAUCUUGUUAAGGUAUGUACUCAUUGAAAAAAACUUAUCAAGCGUCUUGAUCUAUCUCUAUAGAUCUUGAUGCUCAAUAUGCAAGCAGCUUCACCGAGGUCUUUCUUUGAAAAACUCCUUUCAAACACUCAUUUAUGCUUUGCAGAAUAUUUCUACAUUAUUUCCGAUCAACAAUAUGUCAUUCACAUAUACUUAUCAGAAAUGUUGUAGUGCUCCCACUCACUUUUUUUUGUAAAUACAGGCUUCACCACAAGUCUGUAUAAAACUAUAUGCUUUGAUCAACUUAUCAAAGCGUAUACUCUAACUCCGAGAUGCUUGCACGAGUCCAUUGAUGGAUCGCUGGAGCUUGCAUAUUUUGUUAGCACCUUUAGGAUUGACAAAACCUUCAGGUUGUAUCAUAUACAACUCUUCUUUAAUAAAUCCAUCAAGGAAUGCAGUUUUGUUUAUCCCUUUGCCAGAUUUCAUAAAAUGCGGCAAUUGCUAACAUGAUUCGGACAGACUUAAGCAUAGAUACGAGUGAGAAACUCUCAUCGUAGUCAACAUCUUGAACUUGUCGAAAACCUUUUUGCGACAAUUCUAGCUUUGUAGAUAGUGACACUACUAUCAGCGUCCGUCUUCCUCUUGAAGAUCCAUUUAAUCUCAAUGGCUCGCCGAUCAUUGGGCAAGUCAAUCAAAGUCCAUACUUUGUUCUUCAUACAUGGAUCUCAUCUCAGAUUUCAUGGCCUCAAGCCAUUUUGCGGAAUCUGGGCUCACCAUCGCUUCUUCAUAGUUCGUAGGUUCGUCAUGGUCUAGUAACAUAACCUCCAGAACAGGAUUACCGUACCACUCUGGUGCGGAUCUUACUCUGGUUUACCUACGAGGUUUGGUAGUAACUUGAUCUGAAGUUACAUGAUCAUCAUCAUUAACUUCCUCACUAAUUGGUGUAGAAGUCAUAGGAACAGAUUUCUGUGAUCCAAUAAGGGAGCAGGUACAGUUACCUCAUCAAGUUCUACUUUCCUCCCACUCACAUCUUUCGAGAGAAACUCCUUCUCUAGAAAGGAUCCAUACUUAGCAACGAAUGUCUUGCCUUCGGAUCUGUGAUAGAAGGUGUACCCAACUGUCUCCUUUGGGUAUCCUAUGAAGACACAUUUCUCCGAUUUAGGUUUGAGCUUAUCAGGAUGAAACUUUUUCACAUAAGCAUCGCAACCCCAAAAUUUUAAGAAACGACAACUUUGGUUUCUUGCCAAACCACAGUUCAUAAGGCGUCGUCUCAACGGAUUUUGAUGGUGCCCUAUUUAACGUGAAUGCAGCUGUCUCUAAUGCAUAACCCCCAAAACGAUUAGUGGUAAAUUGGUAAGAGACAUCAUAGAUUGCACUAUAUCCAAUAAAGUACGGUUAUGACGUUCGGACACACCAUUAUGCUGUGGUGUUCCAGGUGGCAUGAAUUUGUGAAACUAUUCCACAUUGUUUUAACUGAAGGCCAAACUCGUAACUUAAAUACUCUUCUCCACGAUCAGAUCGUAGAAACUUUAUUUUCUUGUUACGAUGAUUUUCUGCUUCACUCUGAAAUUAUAUGAACUUUUCAAAUGUUUCAGACUCUUGUUUCAUUAAGUAGAUAUACCCAUAUCUGCUUAAAUCAUCUGUCAAGGUCAGAAAAUAAUGAUACCUGCUACGAGCCUCAAUAUUCAUCGGACCACAUACAUCUGUAUGUAUGAUUUCCAACAAAUCUGUUGCUCUCUCCAUAGUUCCGGAGAACGGCGUUUUAGUCAUCUUGCCCAUGAGGCACGGUUCGCAAGCAUCAAGUGAUUCAUAAUCAAGUGAUUCCAAAAUCCCAUCAGUAUGGAGUUUCUUCAUGCGCUUUACACCAAUAUGACCUAAACGGCAGUGCCACAAAUAAGUUGCACUAUCAUUAUUAACUUUGCAUCUUUUGGUUUCAAUAUUAUGAAUAUGUGUAUCACUACGAUCGAGAUCCAACAAACCAUUUUUGUUGGUGUGUAUGACCAUAGAAGGUUUUAUUCAUGUAAACAGAACAACAAUUGUUCUCUAAUUUAAAUGAAUAACCGUAUUGCAAUAAACAUGAUCAAAUCAUAUUCAUGCUCAACGCAAACACCAAAUAACACUUAUUUAGUUUCAACACUAAUCCCGAAAGUACAGGGAGUGUGCGAUGAUGAUCAUAUCAAUCUUGGAACUACUUCCAACACACAUCGUUACCUCGCCUUUUACUAGUCUCUGUUUAUUCUGCAACUCCCGUUUUCGAGUUACUACUCUUUAGCAACUGAACCAGUAUCAAUUACCGAGGGGUUGCUAUAAACACUAGUAAAGUACACAUAAAUAAUCUGUAUAUCAAAUAUACCUUUGUUCACUUUUACUAGUCUCUGUUUAUUCUGCAACUCCCGUUUCGAGUUACUACUCUUAGCAACUGAACCAGUAUCAAUUACUGAGGGGUUGCUAUAAACACUAGUAAAGUACACAUCAAUAAUCUGUAUAUCAAAUAUACCUUUGUUCACUUUGCCAUCCUUCUUAUCCACCAAAUAGUUGGGGUAGUUCCGCUUCUAGUGACCAGUCCCUUUGCAGUAGAAGCACUUAGUCUCAGGCUUAGGACCAGACUUAGGCUUCUUCACUUGAGCAGCAACUUGCUUGCCGUUCUUCUUGAAGUUCCCCUUCUUUCCUUUGCCCUUUUCUUGAAACUAGUGGUCUCGUCAACCAUCAACACUUGAUGUUUUUCUUGAUUUCUAGCUUCGUCGAUUUCAGCAUCACGAAGAGCUCGGGAAUUACUUUCGUCAUCCCUUGCAUACUAUAGUUCAUCACGACGUUCUACUAACUUGGUGAUGGUGACUAGAGAAUUCUGUCAAUCACUAUUUUAUCUGGAAGAUUAACUCCCACUUGAUUCAAGCGAUUGUAGUACCCAGACAAUCUGAGCACAUGCUCACUAGUUGAGCGAUUCUCCUCGAUCUUUUAGCUAUAGAACUUGUUGGAGACUUCAUAUCUCUCAACUUGGGUAUUUGCUUGAAAUAUUAACUUCAACUCCUGGAACAUCUCAUAUGGUCCAUGACGUUCAAAACGUCUUUGAAGUCCCGAUUCUAAGCCGUUAAGCAUGGUGCACUAAACUAUCAAGUAGUCAUCAUAUUGAGCUAGCCAAACGUUCAUAACGUCUGCAUCUGCUCCUGCAAUAGGUCUGUCACCUAGCGGUGCAUCAAGGACAUAAUUUUUCUGUGCAGCAAUGAGGAUAAUCCUCAGAUCACGGAUCCAAUCCACAUCUUUGCUACUAACAUCUUUCAACAUAAUUUUCUCUAGGAACAUAUAAAAAAUAAAACAGGGAAGCAACAACGCGAGCUAUUGAUCUACAACAUAAUUUGCAAAAUACUAUCAGGACUAAGUUCAUGAUAAAUUUAAGUUCAAUUAAUCAUAUUACUUAAGAACUCCCACUUAGAUAGAUAUCCCCCUCAUCAUCUAAGUGAUUACGUGAUCCAAAGCAACUAAACCAUGUCCGAUUAACACGUGAGAUGGAGUAGUUUCAAUGGUGAACAUCACUAUGUUGAUCAUAUCUACUAUAUGAUUCACGCUCGACCUUUCGGUCUCUGUGUUCCGAGGCCAUAUCUGUAUAUAUGCUAGGCUCGUCAAGUUUAACCUGAGUAUUCCGCGUGUGCAACUGUUUUGCACCCGUUGUAUUUGAACGUAGAGCCUAUCACACCCGAUUAACACGUGGUGUCUCAGCACGAAGAACUUUUGCAACGGUGCAUACUCAGGGAGAACACUUUUAUCUUGAGAUUUUAGUGAGAGAUCAUCUUAUAAUGCUACCGUCAAUCAAAGCAAGAUAAGAUGCAUAAAGGAUUAACAUCACAUGCAAUCAAUAUAAGUGAUAUGAUAUGGCCAUCAUCAUCUUGUGCUUGUGAUCUCCAUCUCCGAAGCACCGUGCUUGUGAUCUCCAUCUCCGAAGCACCGUCAUGAUCACCAUCGUCACCGGCGCGACACCUUGAUCUCUAUCGUAGCAUCGUUGUCGUCUCGCCAACUUAUUGCUUUUACGACUAUCGCUACCGCUUAGUGAUAAAGUAAAACUAUUACAUGGCGAUUGCAUCUCAUACAAUAAAGCGACAACCAUAUGGCUCCUGCCAGUUGCCGAUAACUCGGUUACAAAACAUGAUCAUCUCAUACAACACAUUAUAUCACAUCAUGUCUUGACCAUAUCACAUCACAACAUGCCCUGCAAAAACAAGUUAGACGUCCUCUACUUUGUUGUUGAAGUUUUACGUGGCUGCUACGGGCUUAGCAAGAACCGUUCUUACCUACGCAUCAAAACCACAACGAUAGUUUGUCAAGUUGGUGCUGUUUUAACCUUCGCAAGGACCGGGCGUAGCCACACUCGGUUCAACUAAAGUGAGAGAGACAGACACCCGCCAGUCACCUUUAAGCAACGAGUGCUCCGAAUGGUGAAACCAGUCUCGCGUAAGCGUACGCGUAAUGUCGGUCCGGGCCGCUUCAUCUCACAAUACCGCUGAAUCAAAGUAUGACAUGCUGGUAAGCAGUAUGACUUAUAUCAUCCACAACUCACUUGUGUUCUACUCGUGCAUAGUAUCAACGCAUAAAACCAGGCUCGGAUGCCACUGUUGGGGAACGUAGUAAUUUAAAAAAAAUUCCUACGCACACGCAAGAUCAUGGUGAUGCAUAGCAACGAGAGGGGAGAGUGUUGUCCACGUACCCUCGUAGACCGACAGCGGAAGCGUUAUCACAACGCGGUUGAUGUAGUCGUACGUCUUCACGAUCCGACCGAUCAAGUACCGAACGCACGGCACCUCCGAGUUCUACACACGUUCAGCUCGAUGAUGUCCCUCGAACUCCGAUCCAGCCGAGUGUUGAGGGAGAGUUUCGUCAGCAUGACGGCGUGGUGACGAUGAUGAUGUUCCACCGACGCAGGGCUUCGCCUAAGCUCCGCAACGGUAUUAUCGAGGUGUAAUAUGGUGGAGGGGGGCACCGCACAUGGCUAAGAGAUCUCAAGGAUCAAUUGUUGUGUCUCUGGGGUGCCCCCUUGCCCCCGUAUAUAAAGGAGCAAGGGAGGAGGAGGCCGGCCCUAGGAGGGGGCGCACCAAGUGUGGAGUCCUACUAGGACUCCCUAGUCCUAGUAGGAUUCCACCUCCCAUAUGGAAUAGGAAAAGAGGAAGGAAAAAAAAGAAGGAAGGAAGGGGGCGCCCCCCUUCCCUAGUCCAAUUCGGACCAGACCAAGGGGAGGGGUGCGGCCACCCUUGAGGCCCUUUUUCUUCUUUCCCGUAUGGCCCAAUAAGGCCCAAUACGUAUUCCCGUAACUCUCCGGUACUCCGAAAAAUACCCGAAUCACUCGGAACCUUUCCGAAGUCCGAAUAUAGUCGUCCAAUAUAUCGAUCUUUACGUCUCGACCAUUUCGAGACUCCUCGUCAUGUCCCCGAUCUCAUCCGGGACUCCGAACUCCUUCGGUACAUCAACAUACAUAAACUCAUAAUAAAACAGUCAUCGUAACUUUAAGCAUGCGGACCCUACGGGUUCGAGAACUAUGUAGACAUGACCGAGACACGUCUCCGGUCAAUAACCAAUAGCGGGACCUGGAUGCCCAUAUUGGCUCCCACAUAUUCUACGAAGAUCUUUAUCGGUCAGACCGCAUAACAACAUACGUUGUUCCCUUUGUCACCGGUAUGUUACUUGCCCGAGAUUCGAUCGUCGGUAUCUCGAUACCUAGUUCAAUCUCGUUACCGGCAAGUCUCUUUACUCGUUCCGUAACACAUCAUACCGCAACAAACUUAUUAGUCACAAUGCUUGCAAGGCUUAUAGUGAUGUGCAUUACCGAGUGGGCCCAGAGAUACCUCUCCGACAAUCGGAGUGACAAAUCCUAAUCUCGAAAUACGCCAACCCAACAAGUACCUUUGGAGACACCUGUAGAGCACCUUUAUAAUCACCCAUUUGCGUUGUGACGUUUGGUAGCACACAAAGUGUUCCUCCGGUAAACGGGAGUUGCAUAAUCUCAUAGUCAUAGGAACAUGUAUAAGUCAUGAAGAAAGCAAUAGCAACAUACUAAACGAUCGGGUGCUAAGCUAACGGAAUGGGUCAAGUCAAUCACGUCAUUCUCCUAAUGAGGUGAUCUCGUUAAUCAAAUGACAACUUAUGUCUAUGGCUAGGAAACAUAACCAUCUUUGAUUAACGAGCUAGUCAAGUAGAGGCAUACUAGUGACACUCUGUUUGUCUAUGUAUUCACACAUGUAUUAUGUUUCCGGUUAAUACAAUUCUAGCAUGAAUAAUAAACAUUUAUCAUGAUAUAAGGAAAUAAAUAAUAACUUUAUUAUUUCCUCUAGGGCAUAUUUCCUUCAAUUCGGACUUCGAAAAGGUUCUGAGUGAUUCGGGUAUUUUUCGGAGUACCGGAGAGUUACGGGAAUUCGUACUGGGCCUUAAUGGGCCAUACGGGAAAGGAGAGAAAGUCCUCAAAAGGUGGACGCACCCCUCCCCAUGGUCUGGUCCGAAUUGGACUAGGGAAGGGGGGCGCACCCUUCCUUCUUUCUCCUUCCCCCUUCCCUUCUCCUACUCCCACAAGGAAAGGAGGAGUCCUACUCCCGGUGGGAGUAGGACUCCCCCCUAUGGCGCGCCUCUCCCCUUGGCCGGCUGCCUCCCCCUUGCUCCCUUAUAUACGGGGGCAGGGGGCACCCCAGAGACACAAAAAUUGAUCCUUGAGAUCUCUUAGCCGUGUGCGGUGCCCCCCUCCACCAUAUUACACCUCGAUAAUACCGUUGCGGAGCUUAGGCGAAGCCCUGCGUCGGUGGAACAUCAUCAUCGUCACCACGCCGUCAUGCUGACGAAACUCUCCCUCAACACUCGGCUGGAUCGGAGUUCGAGGGUCGUCAUCGAGCUGAACGUGUGUAGAACUCGGAGGUGCCGUACGUUCGGUACUUGAUCGGUCGGAUCGUGAAGACGUACGACUACAUCAACCGCGUUGUGAUAACGCUUCCGCUGUUGGUCUACGAGGGUACGUGUACAACACUCUCCCCUCUCGUUGCUAUGCAUCACCAUGAUCUUGUGUGUGCAUAGGAAUUUUUUUGAAAUUACUACGUUCCCCAACAGUGGCAUCCGAGCCUGGUUUUAUGCGUUGAUGCUAUGCACGAGUAGAACACAAGUGAGUUGUGGGCGAUAUAAGUCAUACUGCUUACCAGCAUGUCAUACUUUGGUUUAGCGGUAUUGUGAGAUGAAGCGGCCCGGACCGACAUUACGCGUACGCUUACGCGAGACUGGUUUCACCGUUGCGAGCACUCGUUGCUUAAAGGUGACUGGCGGGUGUCUGUCUCUCUCACUUUAGUUGAACCGAGUGUGGCUACGCCCGGUCCUUGCGAAGGUUAAAACAGCACCAACUUGACAAACUAUCGUUGUGGUUUUGAUGCGUAGGUAAGAACGGUUCUUGCUAAGCCCGUAGCAGCCACGUAAAACUUGCAACAAUAAAGUAGAAGACGUCUAACUUGUUUUUGCAGGGCAUGUUGUGAUGUGAUAUGGUCAAGACAUGAUGUGAUAUAAUUUGUUGUAUGAGAUGAUCAUGUUUUGUAACCGAGUUAUCGGCAACUGGCAGGAGCCAUAUGGUUGUCGUUUUAUUGUAUGCAAUGCAAUCGCCAUGUAAUGCUUUACUUUAUCACUAAGCGGUAGCGAUAGUCGUAGAAGCAUAAGAUUGAUGAGACGACAACGAUGCUACGAUGGAGAUCAAGGUGUCACGCCGGUGACGAUGGUGAUCAUGACGGUGCUUCGGAGAUGGAGAUCACAAGCACAAGAUGAUGAUGGCCAUAUCAUAUCACUUAUAUUAAUUGCAUGUGAUGUUAAUCCUUUAUGCAUCUUAUCUUGCUUUGUUUGACGGUAGCAUUAUAAGAUGAUCCUUCACUAAAUUAUCAAAGUAUAAGUGUUCUCCCUGAGUAUGCACCGUUGCAAAAGUUCUUCGUGCUGAGACACCACGUGAUGAUCGGGUGUGAUAGGCUCUACGUUCAAAUACAACGGGUGCAAAACAGUUGCACACGCGGAAUACUCAGGUUAAACUUGACGAGCCUAGCAUAUGCCGAUAUGGCCUCGGAACACGGAGACCGAAAGGUCGAGCGUGAAUCAUAUAGUAGAUAUGAUCAACAUAGUGAUGUUCACCAUUGAAACUACUCCAUCUCACGUGAUGAUCGGACAUGGUUUAGUUGAUUUGGAUCACGUAAUCACUUAGAGGAUUAGAGGGAUGUCUAUCUAAGUGGGAGUUCUUAAGUAAUAUGAUUAAUUGAACUUAAAUUUAUCAUGAACUUAGUCCUGAUAGUAUUUUGCAAAUUAUGUUGUAGAUCAAUAGCUUGCGUUGUUGCUUCCCUGUGUUUAUUUUUGAUAUGUUCCUAGAGAAAAUUAUUUUGAAAGAUGUUAGUAGCAAAGAUGCGGAUUGGAUCCGUGAUCUGAGGAUUAUCCUCAUUGCUGCACAGAAAAAUUAUGUCCUUGAUACACCGCUAGGUGACAGACCUAUUGCAAGAGUAGAUGCAGACGUUAUGAACGUUUGGCUAGCUCAAUAUGAUGACUACUUGAUAGUUUAGUGCACCAUGCUUAACGGCUUAGAAUCGGGACUUCAAAGACGUUUUGAACGUCAUGGACCAUAUGAGAUGUUCCAGGAGUUGAAGUUAAUAUUUCAAGCAAAUACCCGAGUUGAGAGAUAUGAAGUCUCCAACAAGUUCUAUAGCUAAAAGAUGGAGGAGAAUCGCUCAACUAGUGAGCAUGUGCUCAGAUUGUCUGGGUACUACAAUCGCUUGAAUCAAGUGGGAGAUAAUCUUCCUGAUAAAAUAGUGAUUAACAGAAUUCUCUAGUCACCAUCAGCAAGUUAGUAGAACUUCGUGAUGAACUAUAGUAUGCAAGGGAUGACGAAAGUAAUUCCCGAGCUCUUCGUGAUGCUGAAAUCGACGAAGGUAGAAAUCAAGAAAAACAUCAAGUGUUGAUGGUUGACGAGACCACUAGUUUCAAGAAAAGGGCAAAGGGAAGAAGGGGAACUUCAAGAAGAACGGCAAGCAAGUUGCUGCUCAAGUGAAGAAGCCUAAGUCUGGUCCUAAGCCUGAGACUAAGUGCUUCUACUGCAAAGGGACUGGUCACUGGAAGCGGAACUACCCCAACUAUUUGGUGGAUAAGAAGGAUGGCAAAGUGAACAAAGGUAUAUUUGAUAUACAGAUUAUUGAUGUGUACUUACUAGUGUUUAUGGCAACCCCUCGGUAUUUGAUACUGGUUCAGUUGCUAAGAGUAGUCACUCGAAACGGGAGUUGCAGAAUAAACAGAGACUAGUAAAAGGGCGAGGUGACGAUGUGUGUUGGAAGUAGUUCCAAGAUUGAUAUGAUCAUCAUCGCACACUCCCUGUACUUUCGGGAUUAGUGUUGAAACUAAAUAAGUGUUAUUUAGUGUUUGCGUUGAGCAUGAAUAUGAUUUGAUCAUGUUUAUUGCAAUACGGUUAUUCAUUUAAGUUAGAGAACAAUUGUUGUUCUGUUUACAUGAAUAAAAACCUUCUAUGGUCAUACACACCAACGAAAAUGGUUUGUUGGAUCUCGAUCGUAGUGACACACAUAAUCAUAAUAUUGAAGCCAAAAGAUGCAAAGUUAAUAAUGAUAGUGCAACUUAUUUGUGGCACUGCUGUUUAGGUCAUAUUGGUGUAAAGCGCAUGAAGAAACUCCAUACUGAUGGGAUUUUGGAAUCAAUUGAUUAUGAAUCACUUGAUGCUUGCGAAACAUGCCUCAUGGGCAAGAUGACUAAAACGCCGUUCUCCGGAACUAUGGAGAGAGCAACAGAUUUGUUGGAAGUCAUAUAUACAGAUGUAUGUGGUCCAAUGAAUAUUGAGGCUCGUGGCGGAUAUCGUUAUUUUUCUCACCUUCACAGAUGAUUUGAGCAGAUAUGGGUAUAUCUACUUAAUGAAACAUAAGUCUGAAACAUUUGAAAAGUUCAUAUAAUUUCAGAGUGAAGUCGAAAAUCAUCGUAACAAGAAAAAUAAAGUUUCUACGAUCUGAUCGUAGAGAAGAGUAUUUGAGUUACGAGUUUGGCCUUCAGUUAAAACAAUGUGAAAUAGUUUCACUACUCACGCCACCUGGAACACCACAGCAUAAUGGUGUGUCCGAACGUCAUAACCGUACUUUAUUGGAUAUAGUGCAAUCUAUGAUGUCUCUUACCAAUUUACCACUAUCGUUUUGGGGUUAUGCAUUAGAGACAGCUACAUUCACGUUAAAUAGGGCACCAUCGAAAUCCGUUGAGACGACGCCUUAUGAACUGUGGUUUGGCAAGAAACCAAAGUUGUCGUUUCUUAAAGUUUGGGGUUGCGAUGCUUAUGUGAAAAGUUUCAUCCUGAUAAGCUCAAACCCAAAUCGGAGAAAUGUGUCUUCAUAGGAUACCCAAAGGAGACAGUUGGGUACACCUUCUAUCACAGAUCCGAAGGCAAGACAUUCGUUGCUUAGUAUGGAUCCUUUCUAGAGAAGGAGUUUCUCUCGAAAGAAGUGAGUGGGAGGAAAGUAGAACUUGAUGAGGUAACUCCUGCUCCCUUAUUGGAAAGUAGUUCAUCACAAGAAACGGUUCCUGUGACGUCUAUACCAAUUAGUGAGGAAGUUAAUGAUGAUGAUCAUGGAACUUCAAAUCAAGUUAUUACCAAACCUCGUAGGUAAACCAGAGUAAGAUCCGCACUAGAGUGGUACGGUAAUCCUAUUCUGGAGGUUAUGUUACUAGACCAUGACGAACCUACGAACUAUGAGGAAGCGAUGAUGAGCCCAGAUUCCGCAAAAUGGCUUGAGGCCAUGAAAUCUGAGAUGGGAUCCAUGUAUGAGAACAAAGUGUGGACUUUGGAUGACUUGCCCGAUGAUCGGCAAGCCAUAGAAAAUAAAUGGAUCUUCAAGAGAAAGACGAACGCUGAUAGUAGUGUUACUAUCUACAAAGCUAGACUUGUCGGAAAAAGGUUUUUGACAAAGUUCAAGGUGUUGACUACGAUGAGAUUUUCUCACUCGCAGCGAUGCUGAAGUCUGUCUGAAUCAUGUUAGCAAUUGCCGCAUUUUAUGAAAUAUGGCAAAUGGAUAAACAAAACUGCAUUCCUUAAUGGAUUUAUUAAAGAAGAGUUGUAUAUGAUGCAACCAGGAGGUUUUGUCAAUCCUAAAGAUGCUAACAAAAUAUGCAAGCUCCAGUGAUCCAUCUAUGGACUGGUGCAAGCAUCUCAGAGUUGGAAUAUACACUUUGAUAAGUUGAUCAAAGGAUAUAGUUUUAUACAGACUUGCGGUGAAGCCUGUAUUUACAAGAAAGUGAGUGGGAGCACUACAGCAUUUCUGAUAAGUAUAUGUGAAUGACAUAUUGUUGAUCGGAAAUAAUGUAGAAUUAUUCUGCAAAGCAUAAAGGAGUGUUUGAAAGGAGUUUUUCAAAGAAAGACCUCGGUGAAGCUGCUUACAUAUUGAGCAUCAAGAUCUAUAGAGAUAGAUGAAGACGCUUGAUAAGUUUUUCAUUGAGUACAUACCUUAACAAGAUUUUGAAGUAGUUCAAAAUAGAACAGUCAAAGAAAGAGUUCUUGCCUGUGUUACAAGGUGUGAAAUUGAGUAAGACUCAAAGCCCGACCACGGCAGAAGAUAGAAAGAGAAUGAAAGUCAUUUCCCUAUGCCUUGGCCAUAGGUUCUAUAAAGUAUGCCAUGCUGUGUACCAGAUCUAUUGUAUACCCUACACUGAUUUUGGCAAGGGAGUACAAUAGUGAUCUAGGAGUAGAUCACUGGACAGCGGUCAAAAUUAUCCUUAGUGGAAUAAGGAUAUGUUUCUCGAUUAUGGAAGUGACAAAAGGUUCGUCGUAAAGGGUUACGUCGAUGCAAGUUUUGACACUAAUCUAGAUGACUCUAAGUCUUGGUCUAGAUACAUAUUGAAAGUGGGAGCAAUUAGCUAAGAGUAGCUCCGUGCAGAGCAUUGUAAACAUAGAAAUUUGCAAAAUACUUACGGAUCUGAGUGUGACAGACCCGUUGACUAAAAUUAUAUCACAAUCAAAACAUGAUCACACCUUAGUACUCUUUGGGUAUUAAUCACAUAGCGAUGUGAACUAGAUUAUUGACUCUAGUAAACCCUUUGAGUGUUGGUCACAUAGAGAUGUGAACUAUGGGUGUUAAUCACAUGGUGAUGUGAAUUAUUGAUGUUAAAUCACAUGACGAUGUGAACUAGAUUAUUGACUCUAGUGCAAGUGGAAGACUGAAGGAAAUAUGCCCUAGAGGCAAUAAUAAAGUAUUAUAUAUUUCCUUAUAUCAUGAUAAAUGUUUAUUAUUCAUGCUAGAAUUGUAUUAACCGGAAACAUAAUACAUGUGUGAAUACAUAGACAAACAGUGUCACUAGUAUGCCUCUACUUGACUAGCUCGUUAAUCAAAGAUGGUUAUGUUUCCUAGCCAUAGACAUGAGUUGUCAUUUGAUUAACGAGAUCACCUCAUUAGGAGAAUGACGUGAUUGACUUGACCCAUUCCGUUAGCUUAGCACCCGAUCGUUUAGUAUGUUGCUAUUGCUUUCUUCAUGACUUAUACAUGUUCCUAUGACUAUGAGAUUAUGCAACUCCCGUUUACCGGAGGAACACUUUGUGUGCUACCAAACGUCACAACGUAAAUGGGUGAUUAUAAAGGUGCUCUACAGGUGUCUCCAAAGGUACUUGUUGGGUUGGCGUAUUUCGAGAUUAGGAUUUGUCACUCCGAUUGUCGGAGAGGUAUCUCUGGGCCCACUCGGUAAUGCACAUCACUAUAAGCCUUGUAAGCAUUGUGACUAAUGAGUUAGUUGCGGAAUGAUGUAUUACGAAACGAGUAAAGAGACUUGCUGGUAACGAGAUUGAACUAGGUAUCGAGAUACCGACGAUCAAAUCUCGGGCAAGUAACAUACCGGUGACAAAGGGAACAACGUAUGUUGUUAUGCGGUCUGACCGAUAAAGAUCUUCGUAGAAUAUGUGGGAGCCAAUAUGGGCAUCCAGGUCCCGCUAUUGGUUAUUGACCGGAGACGUGUCUCGGUCAUGUCUACAUAGUUCUCGAACCCGUAGGGUCCGCACGCUUAACGUUACGAUGACAGUUUUAUUGAGUUUUGAUGUACCGAAGGAGUUCGGAGUCCCGGAUGAGAUCGGGGAUAUGACGAGGAGUCUCGAAAUGGUCGAGACGUAAAAAUCGAUAUAUUGGAUGACUAUAUUUGGACUUCGGAAAGGUUCCGAGUGAUUCGGGUAUUUUUCGGAGUACCAGAAAGUUACGGGAAUUCGUAUUGGGCCUUAAUGGGCCAUACGGGAAAGGAGAGAAAGGCCUCAAAAGGUGGCCGCACCCCUCCCCAUGGUCUGGUCCGAAUUGGACUAGGGAAGGGGGGCGCACCCUUCCUUCUUUCUCCUUCCCCCUUCCCUUCUCCUACUCCCACAAGGAAAGGAGGAGUCCUACUCCCGGUGGGAGUAGGACUCCCCCCUUUGGCGCGCCUCUCCCCUUGGCCGGCUGCCUCGCCCUUGCUCCUUUAUAUACGGGGGCAGGGGGCACCCUAGAGACACAACAAUUGAUCCUUGAGAUCUCUUAGCCGUGUGCGGUGCCCCCCUCCACCAUAUUACACCUCGAUAAUACCGUUGCGGAGCUUAGGCGAAGCCCUGCGUCGGUGGAACAUCAUCAUCGUCACCACGCCGUCGUGCUGAAGAAACUCUCCCUCAACACUCGGCUGGAUCGGAGUUCGAGGGACGUCAUCGAGCUGAACGUGUGUAGAACUCGGAGGUGCCGUACGUUCGGUACUUGAUCGGUCGGAUCGUGAAGACGUACAACUACAUCAACCGCGUUGUGAUAACGCUUCCGCUGUCGGUCUACGAGGGUACGUGGACAACACUCUCCCCUCUCGUUGCUAUGCAUCACCAUGAUCUUGUGUGUGCGUAGGAAAUUUUUUGAAAUUACUACGUUCCCGAACACUACUUUCCCCGUUCGAUCCGGCGAUAGAUUCGAUCGACAGCAGAGAGGGGAAUGGGGAAUAGAGGUAGAUAAGCAUGUAGAGGUAGUUCAUACGAGUUCAUACUAGUUCAUGCAAGAUCGGAAUAGAGGUAGAUGCGGAUGCAGUAGAAGGGGGAUUGGGGGUACACAACGGACACCGGCUAACCGCGGCGGCCGUCACGGGCGUGCGGAGCGGCGGGUCGAGUGGCUGGCCUUCGUCUUCUUGUUCAUCACCGUGCUGGGCGGCGGGUCGUCGUCGUCGUCCUCGGCGGAGUCGAGGUCGAUCUGCCAGGUACGACGGCCUAGCUCUGGCGCCCUAGCUGGCAUCUGCACCGGUUCUUCCUCCUCCUUAGGCUCCCCACUGAUGACCGCCGGUGACACGAUUGCCGUCUCCCAGUACACUGCGGCACGGCGGUCAUUAGGAGCCCAGUAGUUCUUGUACUUGGACCACUUCUUCCUCUGUUUAGCGUCAUCGGAGACGGCCUGAUUCAUGGCCCAGCGAAUGAUGUCGACUGCCAUCGCACCCUUCGCUGGGCCAGGAAUCAGCGUCUUCAGCUCUUGUGCAGUGGCCCUCUUGAGCACUGCAUCAGAUUCCUUCUGCAUUGUCAGGCAUGGAGCCGAAGUUCGAGCACACCUCCAUGGUGUUCUCGAACUUGGUGCGGUCAUCAGCUGACCACCCGAGGAAGAAGGCCCUCCAGCCAAUACCCCAAGGGAAGGGGUUGGCAUUGGAGCUGGAACUAGAGCUCAUGGCGAUGGAGAGGAGGAAGGUUGACAGUAAGAGAAGAGAGGGGGUGGGUAAGUAGUGGUGGGCAGGGUGAGUAAAUAUAGGGGCGAUGCAGAGGAGGAGAAGAGUGACAGUCAUGCCGUUUUAACUACAUGCUCUUCAAUAAGCCAUGAACUCCGUGCUCUGCCUGACUCCAUGAAUUGUGUGCAGAUCGAGGAGAGCAACGAGAUGGGCACGGAGGUGCUCCCAGCCGUUGACAACAAGGGCAAGCAGCCCCUUCAUCCAAUGCCGGACGAGGUUGUGCUGCCGCCCACCGCCGAGGAAGAACCGAAGACGCCUGAGGCUGGCGACGACGAGCGCAUGGAGGAGCCCCCCAGCAACAAGCGCCGCAACUACGACCACUACCAUGAGGAGGAUGGCCCAACUCACUUUUGCAAGGUCAUCCUUACACCGAAGCUUGAGUGCAUCCCCAUGCCCCUAGACCUCACCAAGCACUUCGUCGCGGUGCCGACGGAUUCAAGCUCAGGAACAACACCGGCUGCUUCUGGAAGGUGACGGUGAAGCUGAUGAACGGCAGGGUGACCCUGGAUCAGGGUUGGGCCACCUACACCGCCGUUCAUCAUAUCAAGAUCGGCUACAUGGUGACGUUCAAGCUCCUCACUCCCGACACCCUCAAGGUCAUCAUCUUCGACGAGGAAGGCAUUGAGGUGGUCAACAAGUGCGGGAAGCACGACGAAGCCUUCGCCGCCAAGGACUAGGGCCGGGGCACCUCCUUCCUAAGUACUUUCGAGUUUAUGCAUUGAACUGUUUGAACUAUCGUUAUGAUGUGUGGUACUAUGUUCUCUGAACUAUGCUAUUAAGUAGUUGAUGCUCUGCUAUGCUCUGCUCUGCUUAUGCUCUGUGCUACAUGGUUGUGCCGAAGUGUGUUGGUAACCUCAUCAACUGGCCUAAGAGGUUACCACACACCAGACGUUGCAUACAAUCAAACACCAUGCCUUGGGUUUGUCCACUAACAUGCAGGCAAUCAAACACCAGGCAGUGUGGUUCUGCCCAUGUAGGCAAGAGGGCAUGCAGACAACCAAACAACUUGCAAAUGGUGCAUUUGAGGCUGCAUUUACAUAGCCAGGCUGAGUUGAGAAGGCUAUGCAAUGCAGCCACUGUAGACUACGACAACCAAACAUGCCCUAGAAGCAUAGCACACGGCAUGCACACAUGAAAUAUCGAAGGCAGCCGGGUCGUGCUCCGGCAGCCGCGCAAGCAAGUAGCGCACGCACGGCGAGGAGAGCGACCAGUGUGGGUGUUGCUGUUGCCGUCCAUGUGGCCAUGUCACGCAGACAGAGAGUUGGUAUGCGUUGCACCACCUCGUGGAAGCGCGUACGGGGCAUCCAUUCCGCUGGCAUCGAUCAGUAUUGCGACAUGGCGACCGCUCGUGAGACCCUGUCCUAGAUGGCCGGCAGCACGACGUACAUCUCGGUACCGCCCACUCACACUAGCCAUGUCAGAUGGCGGCUGCUUGAUGUGCCGGCGUACUGAGCUGUGUGUGUACGUUCAUGUUGUGAAUGGUGAGAAGUUGCGGCGGCAGGCUGCGUGUGAAGCAGACGCUGAAGGCCGGGAGAUACAUGGUCAUGGUGACCACGUGAAAGACAUGGCGCCAGGCUCGGACCUCAAGGACGACAGACGCGUUUGGGGAAGCAAGACUCCACGGGCUGCAUGGCGAGGGACUGCAGGGACUUGGGCGUGGAGACGGCUGCAAUGCAUGUGUGCUUCGGAUUAUGGUGGCUUUGGAUUGCAAACAGGUAAUUGGGUAUAUUACCAAAGGAUAUAAAUGCUCCUAUGGAUCGGUCAUCAGUGAAAUUAGGACCAGAUCAUCACAGUUUUUUGUAUUUUUUUUUUAAAGUCGUCAGGUUAAUUUUGAAGCACACAAGUUAGCCAAAUUUGCGUUAUCUCUAGCUCAGGGGCGUCAUGUGUGGCUUGACCAGCCAUAUGAUCAAACUUGUAUCCCACUUUCUAUGGAGUUCGAUUAAAUAAAAGGUUUUUACCCUAAAAAAUGUGUGUGCUGCAUGCACCCGUGCUAGUGCGGGCUGUGAGUGUGCACGGUACGUGCCGCGUGCUUCUGUAUACAAGAAUGUGGCUCCUCGUUAUUACCCAAAGCAUCGUGUGCUCAAUUGGCUAUCGCGUGCAAGUUGCCACUCGCAGGUCUUUGGUUCGAAUCCCCACUCGUACUAGUGGCUGGGCAUAUUUUCAUUAGAAAAAUACAUAGAAUCGUCGCCUCCCUUUAAAAAAACAUUUUAGAAAAAAACCCUCACCUUCAUCUAAAAAAAGUAAAGAAAAAAUUAUAACCGCAGCCUAUCAGUGAGUGCCACUUUGCAUAAAACUCUUCAUUUAAAAAAUACCAGAGGUCCUCACCUCCAUCUAAAAAAAUACAUACAAAAAAUAAUCCACACGUUCAUCUAUUUUCUUUUCAAAAUAGUUCUUAUCACGGCCAACCAGCUUGCGCCAUAUGGCAUAGCUGGUUAGCCGCCUUUUCCGCGUAGCUUAACGGGUUUAAUUCUUUUCUUUGUUUCUCCCUUCAUUUACUGACAAGUGGGACCCACAUGAGGAGGAGAGAGAAUACUGUCACACAGUGUUUGACCGAUCAACUCAGAUAAAAAUAGGAAGCUAUGCGGCGGGUCAGUGAUCGUGUAAUCACCUAGACUUGUGCAUACUUAGAGCAUCUCCAGCCGCGCCCCAGAAAGGCCUCCCCAGGCGAUUUUUCCGCGCCGGCGCAGAAAAAACGGCCCAGUCGCACCACCAGGGGCCCGAUUUUCGCCGGCCUGGGCCGAAAUCAGCGCCGGCAGACCCAGGCCGAACCCCGCGCUAGGGGGCGCCCAGGGCGCCGAGGCGAGUUGUUUUGGCACGAAGCAGCUGCGGGCCCGCCGAGUCAGCGAGAUGGGCGCUUCGUCGCCCUCAUCGCCUCGGUUCCCGCGGGAAUCGAUGCUAAGGCUGCCACGCUGCCGCCGCCGGUCAGCCUUGCCAUUGAUUCCUCACGGGCGGCGCGUCACGGGGCGGCGCGGCGACGCCUCCCCUCCCGCGCACGCGUACACACGGGCGCGGCUAUAUAAGCCGGUGGCCUCCCUCGCCUCUGGCCACACCAGCUCUAGCCGCCGAGCUCUACCUCUCUCGUGCGCCGCUGCCGAGCCCUCCCUCUCCCUCUCCCGAUGGCCGAACGUUUCCCCGGCGACGAGGCAGCGGCCAACGGCUUCGGCCGCCGCUCGCUCCGCGAACAGGAGUCGUGGCUCCUGUUCGAGGCCAACAUCCCGGCGCCGCCGGACAUGCGCGCCGGGCCGACGGGGUGGAGGCUCAGCAACGGGGGAGUGCCCAUUCCCCCGUUGCCCGAUGCCGUGGCGCGCUCACCCUACUUCGCCGCCGAGGUAGAGAUCGUGUGCUCCUCCCUCACCGACGAGCAGCUCGCCCUGCCCCAGUACGCCACCGACAACCACGCGGCGUGGACGGCGUACUUCGAGCGCCGUCAGUAGCAGAGGCUGGCGUUCACCAACGGGGCGCUGGUGGUGGGCGGCAUGAAGAACAGCGAGGGGCGCCACCUGUGGUGGGGCGUCCCCGGCCGCACGCUCGAGGGCGUGCUGAUGCACCUUGAGGGUGGCAACAACCCGCCGCUGGCAUACCCUCCCCGGCGAGGGCGGUCGCCCUGGCCCACCGCUGACGCGCCGGGCAAUGGAUGCCCAGGAGGUUCGGCUCCUCCUCGUCUUCCUCCUCGCACUCUUCUUCCCACUCCUCCGGCUCUCCGGCGCUGCUCGGCGUCAAGGCCGAGCCCGCGGCGGAGACGCCGCUCGGCCGGCGCACUCGCAGCGCCAGCAUCGUCACCAACGAGGGCGUCCGGCGCGCCUCCUCGUCGGCUCCUCCGCGCUUCGUCAAGCCAAAGACGGAGCCGGGGCUCGCGCCGGUGAAAACGGAGCCGGGUCUCCCCGCCGUGAAGACAGAGCACAGCGACGUGGAGCUCGACGACGACGCGGGCCUGGAAUGGGCGCGCAAGGACUCCCUGAAGAUGGCGAGGGAGCGCCAGUGCGCCGCCCUGCGAUGGUUCGAGCAGCGCCGCCGGGGCCGCGACGAAGGAGGAGUCGUCGUCAUCGAAGACAGCGACGACGACGACGCGCCGCCGCCGCCACCAGUCCGCCUUGGCGACGCUGGGCAGGGGUCCACCAGGGACGGCCGUGUCAAGGAGGAGAAGGCCGCCGCCGACGACGGCGGCGAGGAUGACGGCGACGACGGCGACUACUCCGCGUUCAGCGAGUUCUUAUUUUAGAUUUCUUUACUAUGUACCGCGAACAUGUCUAAUAUAUGCCAAAGUUUGCCGAAAUUUAGACGUGUUUAGCCGAACUUCGCCAAACGUUUUAAAAAAAAAAA